GCAGACACAUUCCAGCCAAUCAGCAGCAGACCCUCCCUCCCAGACCCUCCCACCUCCUGGACAGCAUCCAUUUUGAAGCUGCAUUCUUAGUGAGCUGUCCAGGAGGUGGGAGGGUCUGGGAGGGAGGGUCUGCUGCUGAUUGGCUGGAAAGUGUCUG